rnacentral:rRNA from 1 species
UGGGGAAUAUUGCGCAAUGGGGGCAACCCUGAUGCAGCGACGCCGCGUGAGCGAUGAAGCCCUUCGGGGCGUAAAGCUCUUUCGACCGGAACGAUAAUGACGGUACCGGGAGAAGAAGCUGCGGCUAACUACGUGCCAGCAGCCGCGGUAAUACGUAGGCAGCAAGCGUUGUUCGGAGUUACUGGGCGUAAAGAGUGCGUAGGCGGUUUUCUAAGUUCGGUGUGAAAUCUCCCGGCUUAACUGGGAGGGUGCGCCGAAGACUGGGAAGCUGGAGUGUGGGAAAGGCAGGCGGAAUUCCUGGUGUAGCGGUGAAAUGCGUAGAUAUCAGGAGGAACACCGGCGGUGUAGACGGCUUGCUAGACCAUAACUGACGCUGAGGCACGAAAGCGUGGGUAGCAAACA